rnacentral:rRNA from 1 species
AAUAGAUACCCCGGUAGUCCAUGCCGUAAACGUUGGGCACUAGGUGUGGGGGACAUUCCACGUUUUCCGCGCCGUAGCUAACGCAUUAAGUGCCCCGCCUGGGGAGUACGGCCGCAAGGCUAAAACUCAAAGGAAUUGACGGGGGCCCGCACAAGCGGCGGAGCAUGCGGAUUAAUUCGAUGCAACGCGAAGAACCUUACCAAGGCUUGACAUGUUCCAGACCGGGCUAGAGAUAGUCCUUCCCUUCGGGGCUGGUUCACAGGUGGUGCAUGGUUGUCGUCAGCUCGUGUCGUGAGAUGUUGGGUUAAGUCCCGCAACGAGCGCAACCCUCGUUCCAUGUUGCCAGCACGUAGUGGUGGGGACUCAUGGGAGACUGCCGGGGUCAACUCGGAGGAAGGUGGGGAUGACGUCAAAUCAUCAUGCCCCUUAUGUCUUGGGCUUCACGCAUGCUACAAUGGCCGGUACAAUGGGUUGCGAUACUGUGAGGUGGAGCUAAUCCCUAAAAGCCGGUCUCAGUUCGGAUUGGGGUCUGCAACUCGACCCC